rnacentral:rRNA from 1 species
UUAAGUAAGGAAGGGCGUACGGCGAAUGCCUGGCCACUCGAAACUGAAGAAGGACGCGCCAAACUGCGAAAAGCUCCGUGAAGCUGUAAGGAAGCGAAGAAGCGGAGGUGUCCGAAUGGGGGAACCCGGCAGCAGACAUGAGCUGUCAUCUGCAGGUGAAUACAUGGCCUGCAAGAGAGGUACCCGGCGAACUGAAACAUCUAAGUAGCCGGAGGAAAAGAAAACAACAGUGAUUCCCUGAGUAGCGGCGAGCGAAAGGGGAGAAGCCCAAACCGGUCCAAGGACCGGGGUUGAAGGACCAUGAUAUGGCAAGAGAGAGGAUAGAAGAACGGGAUCGAAAGCCCGGCCGAAGAAGGUGCAAGCCCUGUAUUUGAAAUCUGAUUGAAGCCUAAUGGGAUCCUGAGUACGGCGAGACACGAGGAAUCUUGUCGGAAGCAGGCGGGACCAUCCGCCAAGGCUAAAUAUAAACGAGUGAGCGAUAGUGAACCAGUACCGUGAGGGAAAGGUGAAAAGAACCGCGGGAGCGGAGUGAAAGAGAACCUGAAACCGUAUGCCUACAAGAAGUCAGAGCCCGUUAAGGGGUGAUGGCGUGCCUUUUGUAGAAUGAACCGGCGAGUUGCGACAGACUGCGAGGUUAAGGAGGAAAGACCGGAGCCGAAGCGAAAGCGAGUCUUAAUAGGGCGAAAGUAGGAUGUUGCAGACCCGAAACCGGGUGAUCUAGCCAUGAGCAGGUUGAAGUUGAGGUGAAACUCAAUGGAGGACCGAACCGACUACCGUUGAAAAGUUAGCGGAUGACUUGUGGCUAGGGGAGAAAUUCCAAUCGAACCCGGAGAUAGCUGGUUCUCCCCGAAAUAGCUUUAGGGCUAGCGUCGGAAAGAACCUUAGUGAAGGUAGAGCACUGAAUGUGUGAUGGCCCCAUCCCGGGGUACUGAAUACAAUCAAACUGCGAAUGUCAUUAAGGAUGUCCGGCAGUCAGACUGUGAGUGAUAAGGUCCAUGGUCAAGAGGGAAACAGCCCAGACCGCCAGUUAAGGUCCCAAAAUACAGGCUAAGUGGAAAAGGAUGUGGGGAUGCCCAGACAACUAGGAGGUUGGCUCAGAAGCAGCCAUCCUUUAAAGAGUGCGUAACAGCUCACUAGUCGAGUGACCCUGCGCCGAAAAUGUACCGGGGCUAAGCCUGAUACCGAAACUGCGGAUUGUAGGAAACUAUAGUGGUAGGGGAGCGUUGUAUACGAGUAGAAGCCGUACCGUGAGGAGCGGUGGAUUGUAUAGAAGUGAGAAUGCCGGUGUGAGUAGCGAGAUGUAGGUGAGAAUCCUACACACCGAAAGCCCAAGGAUUCCAGGGGAAGGUUCGUCCGCCCUGGGUAAGUCGGGACCUAACGCGAGGCCGAAAGGCGUAGUGGAUGGAAAGCAGGCGAAAGAUUCCUGCACCCGUAUAUGGAGCGAAGGAGUGACGGAGACGGAUAGUGUGACCCUCUUAAUGGAUUGAGGGCGAAGCGAAGCGGCUGGUUACCAGGCAAAUCCGGUAACCAUAAGGCUAGAGCGUGAGAGGUAAGCGAAAUCUUAGGAAAGUAGCGAAGCACAUGAUGACGGCUUCCAGGAAAAGCUUCUGGCAAUGCAUAUGCGGCCCGUACCAAAACCGACACAGGUGGGCAGGGAGAGAAUCCCGAGGUGAGCGAGAGAACUGUUGCCAAGGAACUCGGCAAAAUGACUCCGUAAGUUAGCGAGAAGGAGUGCUUAAGCAAUUAAGCCGCAGUGAAGAGGCCCAAGCGACUGUUUAACUAAAACACAGCUCUCUGCGAAGUCGCAAGACGAAGUAUAGGGGGUGACACCUGCCCGGUGCUGGAAGGUUAAGAGGAUCUGUUAAGAGCGAUCUGAAGCAGUGAUCCGAAGCCCCAGUGAACGGCGGCCGUAACUAUAACGGUCCUAAGGUAGCGAAAUUCCUUGUCAGGUAAGUUCUGACCCGCACGAAAGGUGUAACGAUUUGGGCGCUGUCUCGGCAGCAGACUCGGUGAAAUCUUAGUACCUGUGAAAAUGCAGGUUACCCGCAACUAGACGGAAAGACCCCAUGGAGCUUUACUGCAGCCUGAUAUUGAAUUCUGGUCAUACAUGUACAGGAUAGGUGGGAGACAAAGAGACGUGCACGCCAGUGUACGAGGAGUCGACGUUGGGAUACCACUCUUGUGUGACCGGGGUUCUAACCUGGUAUCGAGAACAGGUACGGGGAGAGUGUCAGGUGGGCAGUUUGACUGGGGCGGUCGCCUCCCAAAGAGUAACGGAGGCGCCCAAAGGUACGCUCAGAUUGGAUGGAAACCAAUCGACGAGUGCAAUUGCAGAAGCGUGCUUGACUGUGAGACAGACAAGUCGAACAGGGACGAAAGUCGGGAAUAGUGAUCCGGCGGUGCCGAAUGGAAGGGCCGUCGCUCAACGGAUAAAAGCUACCCUGGGGA